rnacentral:rRNA from 1 species
GUUAAAAAGCUCGUAGUCGAAUUUUUAAGGGAAUCAAUUUUAUGUGGUCUUAAUGAACUGCAAAGGAAGAUGAUUUAUCUUAUUUUAUGCUUUUGCACCAUUGGAAUUCGUUUUCUGAUAGUGGAGUAAGUUUGUGUUUACUUUGAGAAAAUUAGAGUGUUCAAAGCAGUCUUACGGCUUUAUAUUAAAGCAUGGAAUGAUAAAUAAUGACAUCGGUAGAUUUUUGUUGGUUUGAGAGACUGAUGUAAUGAUUUAUAGAGUUAGUCGGAGGUAUUAGUAUUGUUAUCGUUAGAAGUGAAAUUCUGGGAUCGACAAAAGACUAACAACUGCGAAAGCAUUUACCUAGAAUUUGCUCCUUGAUCAAGAACGUAAGUUGGGGGAUCGAAGACGAUCAGAUACCGUCGUAGUCUCAACUUUAAACUAUAUCAGCUAGGGGUUGGCAAAUGUUUAUAUGACUUUGUUAGAACCUUAAGAGAAAUCAAAGCGUUUGGGUUCCGGGGGGGAGUAUGG